rnacentral:rRNA from 1 species
UACGUAGGGUGCAAGCGUUGUCCGGAAUUAUUGGGCGUAAAGAGCUUGUAGGCGGUUUGUCGCGUCUGCUGUGAAAUUUCGGGGCUCAACCCCGAACUUGCAGUGGGUACGGGCAGACUAGAGUGUGGUAGGGGAGACUGGAAUUCCUGGUGUAGCGGUGAAAUGCGCAGAUAUCAGGAAGAACACCAAUGGCGAAAGCAGCUCUCUGGGUCUUACCUGACGCUGAGGAACGAAAGCCAGGGGAGCGAACGGG